GAAUGUAGUGCCCUACUCCAGAGGGUGUCACUCACAUUGCCUAAAGCAUGAUUGUCACCUUUUUGAGUAGAGCAAUACAUAG
rfam:Oryctolagus cuniculus unplaced genomic scaffold chrTn0002, whole genome shotgun sequence.